rnacentral:lncRNA from 1 species
AUUUAUUUUAGAAUUGUGAUAUAUUUUUUUUUAUAGUUGAGAUUUAAUUGAAAUUUACAGAUUAGAAAUCUAAUUGUUAUUAAAAAAAUGUUGGAGGCUAAAAUAAAAAAAAGAUAAAAAAAAAAGGUUGCGGAAAAUAUUGAUGGAUGGGAUGGGAUUGAAUGAAGGAUUAAUUAUAGAUGAGAGCUAAGUUUCUGCCGGGUUGGAUUUGGAUCAAGCUAUCUAGCUUGUUUUAACUUAAGUCCAAUUAUAAUUAUUUUUAGAAAGUUUUAGUUUUAGAAAAUUUUAAUUUU